rnacentral:rRNA from 1 species
CCUACGGGUGGCAGCAGUGAGGAAUAUUGGUCAAUGGACGAGAGUCUGAACCAGCCAAGUAGCGUGAAGGAUGACUGCCCUAUGGGUUGUAAACUUCUUUUAUAUGGGAAUAAAAUGUUCCACGUGUGGGAUUUUGUAUGUACCAUAUGAAUAAGGAUCGGCUAACUCCGUGCCAGCAGCCGCGGUAAUACGGAGGAUCCGAGCGUUAUCCGGAUUUAUUGGGUUUAAAGGGAGCGUAGGUGGAUUGUUAAGUCAGUUGUGAAAGUUUGCGGCUCAACCGUAAAAUUGCAGUUGAAACUGACAGUCUUGAGUACAGUAGAGGUGGGCGGAAUGCGUGGUGUAGCGGUGAAAUGCUUAGAUAUCACGAAGAACUCCGAUUGCGAAGGCAGUUCACUGGACUGCAACUGACACUGAGGCUCGAAAGUGUGGGUAUCAAACAGGAUUAGAUACCCUAGUAGUC